rnacentral:rRNA from 1 species
GCGGCAUGGGAUGGGGUCCGCGUCCCUAUCCAGCUUGUUGGCGGGGUGAUGGCCCACCAAGGCGUUGACGGGUAGCCGGCCUGAGAGGGUGACCGGCCACAUUGGGACUGAGAUACGGCCCAGACUCCUACGGGAGGCAGCAGUGGGGAAUAUUGCACAAUGGGCGCAAGCCUGAUGCAGCGACGCCGCGUGCGGGAUGGAGGCCUUCGGGUUGUAAACCGCUUUUGUUCAAGGGCAAGGCACGGUUUCGGCCGUGUUGAGUGGAUUGUUCGAAUAAGCACCGGCUAACUACGUGCCAGCAGCCGCGGUAAUACGUAGGGUGCGAGCGUUAUCCGGAUUUAUUGGGCGUAAAGGGCUCGUAGGCGGUUCGUCGCGUCCGGUGUGAAAGUCCAUCGCCUAACGGUGGAUCUGCGCCGGGUACGGGCGGGCUGGAGUGCGGUAGGGGAGACUGGAAUUC